rnacentral:lncRNA from 1 species
AUAUACAUACAUAUAUAUAUACACACACGCACAUGCGCACACACAUAUAUAUAUGUAUAUGUAUGUGUAUGUGCAUGUGUACAUAUGUAGUUAGACUAGGUUCCGAUCAAUUAAAUUUGAGCCCAAAUCUGACCAAGUUCCCCACCAUCCAAUCCACAUUGAUUUUUACAUAGAAAAAGGGUUAGCAACCACUUUUUUCAUCCAUUUAGAUUUGAAAAAAAUAUAUAAAAACCUAUACCAUUUAUGCGGAUGGGACAAAAAAAUAUAAAAAAGCCAGGCUGAUGAAAAAAUAUAAAAAAGUUAGGCCAUCAAUAUGGAUGGGAUAGAAAGAUAUAAAAAAGUCAAGCUACUAAUAUAAAUAGGAUGGAGAAAAUAUACAAAAGUUAGACUAUUAAUGCAGUG